rnacentral:rRNA from 1 species
UACGUAGGGAGCAAGCGUUGUCCGGAAUUAUUGGGCGUAAAGAGCUUGUAGGCGGUUUGUCGCGUCUGCUGUGAAAUCUCAAGGCUCAACCUUGAGCUUGCAGUGGGUACGGGCAGACUAGAGUGUGGUAGGGGGAGACUGGAAUUCCUGGUGUAGCGGUGAAAUGCGCAGAUAUCAGGAGGAACACCGAUGGCGAAGGCAGGUCUCUGGGCCACUACUGACGCUGAGAAGCGAAAGCAUGGGGAGCGAACAGG